GACGAACGCUGGCGGCGUGCUUAACACAUGCAAGUCGAACGGAAAGGCCCUGCUUGCAGGGUACUCGAGUGGCGAACGGGUGAGUAACACGUGGGUGAUCUGCCCUGCACUUCGGGAUAAGCUUGGGAAACUGGGUCUAAUACCGGAUAGGAACCAUCUUUAGUGUGGUGGUUGGAAAGUUUUUUCGGUGUAGGAUGAGCUCGCGGCCUAUCAGCUUGUUGGUGGGGUAAUGGCCUACCAAGGCGGCGACGGGUAGCCGGCCUGAGAGGGUGUACGGCCGCAUUGGGACUGAGAUACGGCCCAGACUCCUACGGGAGGCAGCAGUGGGGAAUAUUGCACAAUGGGCGCAAGCCUGAUGCAGCGACGCCGCGUGGGGGAUGAAGGCCUUCGGGUUGUAAACUCCUUUCGCUAGGGACGAAGCUUUGUUGUGACGGUACCUAGAUAAGAAGCACCGGCUAACUACGUG
rnacentral:rRNA from 1 species